rnacentral:rRNA from 1 species
CCUACGGGCGGCAGCAGUGAGGAAUAUUGGUCAAUGGACGUAAGUCUGAACCAGCCAAGUCGCAUGAGGGAUGACUGCUCUAUGGAUCGUAAACCUCUUUUAUAUGGGAAUAAAGUGCUGGACGUGUGCCGUUUUGUAUGUACCAUAUGAAUAAGGAUCGGCUAACUCCGUGCCAGCAGCCGCGGUAAUACGGAGGAUCCGAGCGUUAUCCGGAUUUAUUGGGUUUAAAGGGAGCGUAGGUGGAUUGUUAAGUCAGUUGUGAAAGUCUGUGGCUCAACCGUAAAAUUGCAGUUGAAACUGGGAGGCUUGAGUAUGUUAGAGGCGGGCGGAAUGCGUGGUGUAGCGGUGAAAUGCUUAGAUAUCACGAAGAACUCCGAUUGCGAAGGCAGCCUGC